GAGGUUUCACACAGGGACGUUGCACGGACGCCGGCUGUGAUCGUGAUGCAUUUAUUGGAGAAAUGGAUGAAAAUGGACAUGCACUGGAAGUAGCAUGCUGUUAUUGUCACCAUGCACGAGCCAAGCAUGCAGCACUGAGUGAAACAGGUAACCCAUAGCGCAGCUCCACUGGUUCCAAAUUUGAUGGACACAGCCAUGAGUUACCUGGCAGUAUUGUGGCAGAGGGUAUCUUGUGCCACAGAAGUACAUACGAACAGUCCAGCAGAAAUACAG